UACGUAGGCAGCGAGCGUUGUUCGGAGUUACUGGGCGUAAAGCGUGCGUAGGCGGUGCCAUAAGUCUGUUGUGAAAUCUCCCGGCUUAACUGGGAGGGUGCGGUGGAAACUGUGGUGCUGGAGUGUGGGAGAGGUAGGCGGAAUUCCUGGUGUAGCGGUGAAAUGCGUAGAUAUUAGGAGGAACACCUGUGGUGUAGACGGCUUACUGGACCAUGACUGACGCUGAGGCACGAAAGCGUGGGGAGCAAACAGG
rnacentral:rRNA from 1 species